rnacentral:rRNA from 1 species
AGAAUCAACGCUGGCGGCGUGCCUAACACAUGCAAGUCGAACGAGAAAGUGGAGCAAUCCAUGAGUAAAGUGGCGCACGGGUGAGUAACACGUGACUAACCUACCCUGGAGUGGGGGAUAACUGAGGGAAACCUUAGCUAAUACCGCAUAAUACCUACGGGUCAAAGGAGCAAUUCGCUUCAGGAGGGGGUCGCGGCCGAUUAGUUAGUUGGCGGGGUAAUGGCCCACCAAGACAGUGAUCGGUAUCCGGCCUGAGAGGGCGCACGGACACACUGGAACUGAAACACGGUCCAGACUCCUACGGGAGGCAGCAGUGGGGAAUUUUGCGCAAUGGGGGAAACCCUGACGCAGCAACGCCGCGUGGAGGAUGAAGUCCUUCGGGACGUAAACUCCUUUCGAUCGGGACGAUUAUGACGGUACCGGAAGAAGAAGCCCCGGCUAACUUCGUGCCAGCAGCCGC